ACAGAAUGGCCUGGCACGGUGACCACGGAGUGCCCUGGCACCGGUGCCCGCGGCUGUGACGGAAAAAGGGUGGGAAGAACAGGGAAGAGGAAGCAGAAACAGGCACUCCUUGAUGAAAUAAGUAAGAAAGCUUGUCAAGAGCCAUCACUCUUGCUCAUGGGACAAGAGAAGGCACUGACCUGUGCCCACCAGCACCCCAUCACUGAGCCAACACCACCUUCAGGAAGACAGUCUCCAGCAGGGCUUCCCCCAAUUCCCCUAGCUGCUUUGCCUCUGCUACUCCGGUAAGCACCUGCAGGGAGGCAGGCACCCCAGCACCCACUAGCAUUCUGCAACAGCUGUUGCACCUUGGCUCCCCCAGUACAGUGGAUUCCAAACCUCAAGGAGUCAAAGAACAGAUGGGGCCCAAUACAAAUUCCCCAGAAUUACAACAUGCCGUCCAGGAGUUGAGAGCUGAGUGUUGACCUUCUAAAAUCUCCCAGAAACAAAGCCAGGUGGCUGAAUCCACCUUAUAUUAUAGUCAAACCCUCAAGGUCAUCAAAUCAUCAAAUAGGAUAAAAGAAAAAAAAAUCCAAAGGUCAGCAACAUCCAAGAUUGAAGACAGAUAAGCUCACAAAGAUGAGAAAGAGUCAGCACAGGAAAACUGAAAACUCGAAAAACCAGAGUGCCCUCUUUCCUACGAACAGCCACAUCACCUCUCCAGCAAAGGUUCUGAACUGAGCUGAGAUGGCCAAAAUGACAGAAAUAGAAUUCAGAAUAUGGAUAAGAAUG
rnacentral:lncRNA from 1 species